ensembl:lncRNA
CAGUGUGGACACAGAAACACUGCUGGCUCCAGCAGCAAUGAACAUGUCUGUGAACACUAAUGGUGUACGACGGUCUUGCUGGGAACUCAGUGGGUUGGAGCCUUUCUUUAAACUUGGUUCUGUCACGUCUGCAAGCGUCACAGUUCUCCAUCAGUCGUGUCCAGUCUUUGCCACCAGCUCACCUGAGAGAGGCAGACUUGCCAGCACAGUGUCCACAUACAGGUCGACCUCUUCUUCCUGGCCUGGCACGUGUGAGAUGCCGUAAGAACUUCAUGAGCCGCAUACGUAGACGCUGCAGUACCAGACGUCUCUGUCUCUGCGUGGGAGUCCUUUGCAACUAAAAUCUUUCAGAGGCCAAUGUUACGGCUAAAGCUUCCUUUGCAAUUUUAGGGUACGGCUGCUCGGUGUCGCUCAGGGCUCCGGAGGCAUCAGGAAUCUGGAAUCAGGAAACAUAGGCCACUGGCCACUGGCUUCCAGCCCGUUUAAUCUCGUCGCUGGAGAAGAGCAGCAUCCAUGCCAUAUGAAGAUGGAUUGAACGAGUGCUUCAGCAUUUGGGUCUUAACAGACAAGACCCGGCGGUGUAGUGAGCUCAGCCUUAAUCUCUUCAAAGGCCAGCUGCUGCUGUGGACCCCGGGCCCACAUACCAAGAAGCAAGUGAAAGGAACAAGAUGAGCUGUUACCUCCAGCUCAACGCUAAAUGGACUUGUACUUGCAUAUUAGAUGACUCUUUCUUACACUGAUGGCUUGGGCUGCAUUGCAAAUUACCACCGGCCCGUCAGGACUAACGGAUAUAUUCACCAUCAGUGUUUAAACAAAGCCUUUGGGGAGCAAUUUGGCGUUAUAUCUCUUAAUCCCAACAGCCAACACACGAAUGCAUUCAUUCAUCUGGUCCUUUUUACAAAAAAGGUACAUAAAAUGUGUUUUCAGUAUCCAAUGCAAAAUACUCAGUUAUUGUGGACCUGCAGUAAGUAAGUUAAUCCAGCAGAGAGCACCAGAACCUCUAAGACGGUUACAUCACAGAGAACACCGCGACCGGAGCUUGAUGAUUCCUCGGGAUGAAACCAGUUACGCGCAGAGAAACGUUCUUCUCAGUUCAGGUUUCACCUGGUGUGAGAACAUGACAAUGUUGUUUCUGCUUCUUAGAAACAAAGUCUCGCCCUCCUGAACCCCCCCGUUAAGCUUCUACACCCACUUUCACUGGUUUCACUCAGCCAUGAAAAAUACUCAUUUUGGGUUUUCUCUGUAAAAAAAUGUUGGAAACUUUUAUAGAUUACAAAAAGAUUGCAAAACUAAAUCAAGUAAAGAAAGUAAGUUUUUUUUAAAUAUCCAGCGACAAAAAUGAGUUAUGGUGCAUGACAUUUCUUGUGUUACACUUCCAGAACUGUUACAAAGUACAUCAUUCUCAACGGAACUAACAAAAUUUAAUUUUGAAAAAGCUCUAUCCAAUAGAUCCAAGCGGUAAUUACAGCAGGUACUGAUCUCCUAAUAGCUUCUGAGUGCUGUAAUUACUUCUGUACAUUUGUUGUUCAUUGCAAAAUUGAUGGAAUAAAGGCAUCAAUCCAAAUCCCCAAAGCCUCUUUAAAUAGCUAAUUGUGCGUCAUUACAGUCUGCUGAUUCAAACUCUGAGAAGGUGAUGGGGUUCUUUGUGUGGGUGGUAACACAAUGUCCCACUUAUUAAAUGCUGC